UACGUAGGGGGCAAGCGUUGUCCGGAUUUAUUGGGCGUAAAGAGCGUGUAGGCGGUUAGGUAGGUCCGUUGUGAAAACUCGAGGCUCAACCUCGAGACGCCGAUGGAAACCAUCUAACUAGAGUCCGGAAGAGGAGAGUGGAAUUCCUGGUGUAGCGGUGAAAUGCGCAGAUAUCAGGAAGAACACCCGUGGCUAAGGCGGCUCUCUAGUACGGUACUGACGCUGAGACGCGAAAGCGUGGGGAGCAAACAGG
rnacentral:rRNA from 1 species